rnacentral:lncRNA from 1 species
CUUGGCCAAUCUCACUACCGUGCUCUGAGCCUCCUCCAGCCCACACCUUAAUCUCCUCUAUCAUCCCAAUGUAAAGCUGAUCAAGGCACCGCUCUAACUUCUAUUCUUCAGCAGCUCCUGCCUUCAGGAUGGAACGAACGCUUCCAGCAGGUGGUGUCCACUUACUUUCCAGCCUCAUCUCUUACACACGGAAGUACUUGUAGUUUCUGGAACUUCCCAAGAUCUCAGUCAGUGCCUUCAAUUCUCUGCCUCCCUUUUUGGGAGCAUUUAGAGAGUGUCAGGUACUAUGCUAAACGCUUUAACACAAUGUUUGAAUCCUUACAAAGGUCAGCGUUUUUAGGUCAAACUGUAUGAAAUCACUGACAUUUAACAAUUUUUUUUUCUUUUCUUUUUCGAGAUGGAGUCUUGCUCUGUCGCCCAGGCUAGAGUGCAGUGGCGCAAUCUUGGCUUACUGCAACCCCUGCUACGGGCUCAACAAUACUGCCUCAGUCUCCUGAGUAGCUGGGACUACAGGCGCGUGCCACCACGCCUGGCUAAUUUUUGUAUUUGGUAGAGACGGGGUUUCAGCAUCUUGGCCAGGCUGGUCUUGAACUCCUGACCUCGUGAUCUACCUGUCUUGGCCUCCCAAAAUGCUGGGAUUACAGGCAUGAGCCUCUGCGCCCGGACUGUUUUUAUUUUUUUGAGAUGACGUCUUUCUCUGUCACCCAGGCUGCAGUACGGUGGCGUGAUCUCAGCUCACUGCAACCUCUGCCUCCUGGGUUCAAGUGAUUCUCCUGCCUCAGCCUCCCGAGUAGCUGGGAUUACAGGCGUGCACCACCACACCCAGCUAAUUUUUUGUAUUUUUAGUAGAGACAGGGUUUCACCAUGUUGGCCAGGCUGGUCUCCAACUCCAGGUGAUCCGCCCGCCUUGGCCUCCCCAAGUGCUGGGAUUACAGGCAUGAGCCACUGCGCCCAGACAAUAUUUAACAACUUUUAACCUAAGAAAUGGCAAUAUAGUGGUUCAUCCUAAUACUUCCCUUGUACCUUCCCCCAUAUACAGGGGAAAGUGAAGCAAUGAGAGAUCAAGCACCUUAAUACAAAGCUGGGCGUCUGACUCCUAAGUCCAUUCGAGUACCCACAGUGCACUUCAAGGCUAGUCUCAGUGCCCCUGCCCGGCCAAAUUUGCCUGGAUGACCUCUUGCUCUUCAAGAGAGUGCCUUUUUUUUUUUUUGAGAUGGAGUCUUGCUCUGUCGCCCAGGCUGGAGUGCAGUGGCCCAUCUCAGCUCACUGCAAGCUCCACCUCCCGGGUUCACGCCAUUCUCCUGCCUCAGCCUCCCGGGUAGCUGGGACUAGAGGUGCCCGCCACCAAGCCCGGCUAAUUUUUUUUUGUAUUUUUAGUAGAGACGGGGUUUCACCAUGUUAGCCAGGAUGGUCUCGAUCUCCUGACCUUGUGAUCUACCCACCUCGGCCUCCCAAAGUGCUAGGAUUACAGGAGUGAGCCACCGCGCCCGGCCAAGAGUGCCCUUCUUUAAGGUGCCCUGUGCAUGCCUGUAUCAUCAUGGCCUUUAUCAGACCAUCUUGUAACUGCCUGUUUACUUAUCUCCAUCUUUUAUGGGACUUCGAGCUCCUGGAAGGCAAGGACCCAGCUACAGUCAGUCUGUAUUUUGCCAUUAUCUAGAAUUGUACCUGACACAUUGUAUAUAUUUACUAUUGAUUUGUUAAAUGAAUGAAUGAGUGAAACAAAUGAGUAAAAAAAUAACUUGGAGAAAAA